rnacentral:rRNA from 1 species
UACGUAGGGGGCAAGCGUUGUCCGGAAUCAUUGGGCGUAAAGAGCGUGUAGGCGGCCUGGUAAGUCCGCUGUGAAAGUCCAGGGCUCAACCCUGGAAUGCCGGUGGAAACUGUCAGGCUCGAGUCCGGAAGAGGCGAGUGGAAUUCCUGGUGUAGCGGUGAAAUGCGCGGAUAUCAGGAGGAACACCAAUGGCGAAGGCAGCUCGCUGGGACGGUACUGACGCUGAGACGCGAAAGCGUGGGGAGCAAACAGG